rnacentral:rRNA from 1 species
UACGGAGGGUGCGAGCGUUAAUCGGAAUUACUGGGCGUAAAGCGCGCGUAGGCGGUUUGUUAAGUCGGAUGUGAAAUCCCCGGGCUCAACCUGGGAAUGGCAUUCGAUACUGGCCGACUAGAGUACGAGAGAGGGAGGUAGAAUUCCACGUGUAGCGGUGAAAUGCGUAGAUAUGUGGAGGAAUACCGGUGGCGAAGGCGGCCUCCUGGCUCGAUACUGACGCUGAGGUGCGAAAGCGUGGGUAGCAAACAGG